rnacentral:misc_RNA from 1 species
GUUGGGGAAAUAUGAAGCAGAAGUGGAAGGAGGAACGCGCGGAAGAGAAAAGUUUUCAAAACAGGAGGCGGACCGCCCCGCCACCGAUGGAUUCCGUGUCGGCACUCGUUGGGGCAGUGGCAUCUCACAGGGCGACCCGCAUUCCGAAUGCCUACGACAGUGAUGGAGCGACGUACCUGGCACCAGUGUCAAGUGAACCCGUUCUCAGCUCCCACGGCCAAUGAUGACAGAAGAUGAUCCACCGCAUGACAUUUAUGAGGAUGACUACCAUCCAGGGAGCCACACCUGUGUGGGAGUUGACAACGACACCAACGCUACAGCACCCCCGACCGAUCUAGAGUCGACCGAAGUAGCUCCGCCAGCAACAGCUGCAAAUGUGACAGCUGCCCCAGCCGAAUCAACCAUACCUAGAGGCAGGCUGUCUUUGCAGCAGAGAAGCCUUUCGGAAGAGGUUGACGUAAGCUUUGCACUGUUGCACGAGAAACACACCUUGCGCAUGAGGCUGAUGGAAGAAGAUCACACCGACAAACUACAAAAACGAGAUGAGGAGCACAAGCUCCAAAUGGACAUCCUGCAGCGGCAAAAAGAUAUAAAAGAUUUGAAGUUGAAGCGCCUACAGGAAGGAAAAUAAAA